UACGGGGGGGGCAAGCGUUGUUCGGAAUUACUGGGCGUAAAGGGCUCGUAGGCGGCCAACUAAGUCAGACGUGAAAUCCCUCGGCUUAACCGGGGAACUGCGUCUGAUACUGGAUGGCUUGAGAUUGGGAGAGGGAUGCGGAAUUCCAGGUGUAGCGGUGAAAUGCGUAGAUAUCGAGAGGAACACCAGUGGCGAAGGCGGAUCUCUGGGCCAUUACUGACGCUGAGGAGCGAAAGCGUGGGGAGCGAACAGG
rnacentral:rRNA from 1 species